GAUGAACGCUGGCGGCGUGCCUAAUACAUGCAAGUCGAGCGAACGGACGAGAAGCUUGCUUCUCUGAUGUUAGCGGCGGACGGGUGAGUAACACGUGGAUAACCUACCUAUAAGACUGGGAUAACUUCGGGAAACCGUAGCUAAUACCGGAUAAUAUUUUGAACCGCAUGGUUCAAAAGUGAAAGACGGUCUUGCUGUCACUUAUAGAUGGAUCCGCGCUGCAUUAGCUAGUUGGUAAGGUAACGGCUUACCAAGGCAACGACGCAUAGCCGACCUGAGUGGGUGAUCGGCCACACUGGAACUGAGACACGGUCCAGACUCCUACGGGAGGCAGCAGUAGGGAAUCUUCCGCAAUGGGCGAAAGCCUGACGGAGCAACGCCGCGUGAGUGAUGAAGGUCUUCGGAUCGUAAAACUCUGUUAUUAGGGAAGAACAUAUGUGUAAGUAACUGUGCACAUCUUGACGGUACCUAAUCAGAAAGCCACGGCUAACUACGUGCCAGCAGCCGCGGUGAUACGUAGGUGGCAAGCGUUAUCCGGAAUUAUUGGGCGUAAAGCGCGCGUAGGCGGUUUUUUAAGUCUGAUGUGAAAGCCCACGGCUCAACCGUGGAGGGUCAUUGGAAACUGGAAAACUUGAGUGCAGAAGAGGAAAGUGGAAUUCCAUGUGUAGCGGUGAAAUGCGCAGAGAUAUGGAGGAACACCAGUGGCGAAGGCGACUUUCUGGUCUGUAACUGACGCUGAUGUGCGAAAGCGUGGGGAUCAAACAGGAUUAGAUACCCUGGUAGUCCACGCCGUAAACGAUGAGUGCUAAGUGUUAGGGGGUUUCCGCCCCUUAGUGCUGCAGCUAACGCAUUAAGCACUCCGCCUGGGGAGUACGACCGCAAGGUUGAAACUCAAAGGAAUUGACGGGGACCCGCACAAGCGGUGGAGCAUGUGGUUUAAUUCGAAGCAACGCGAAGAACCUUACCAAAUCUUGACAUCCUUUGACAACUCCAGAGAUAGAGCCUUCCCCUUCGGGGGACAAAGUGACAGGUGGUGCAUGGUUGUCGUCAGCUCGUGUCGUGAGAUGUUGGGUUAAGUCCCGCAACGAGCGCAACCCUUAAGCUUAGUUGCCAUCAUUAAGUUGGGCACUCUAAGUUGACUGCCGGUGACAAACCGGAGGAAGGUGGGGAUGACGUCAAAUCAUCAUGCCCCUUAUGAUUUGGGCUACGCACGUGCUACAAUGGACAAUACAAAGGGCAGCGAAACCGCGAGGUCAAGCAAAUCCCAUAAAGUUGUUCUCAGUUCGGAUUGUAGUCUGCAACUCGACUACAUGAAGCUGGAAUCGCUAGUAAUCGUAGAUCAGCAUGCUACGGUGAAUACGUUCCCGGGUCU
rnacentral:rRNA from 1 species